UACGUAGGGGGCAAGCGUUGUCCGGAAUCAUUGGGCGUAAAGAGCGUGUAGGCGGCUUGGUAAGUCCGCUGUGAAAGUCCAGGGCUCAACCCUGGAAUGCCGGUGGAAACUGUCAGGCUUGAGUCCGGAAGAGGCGAGUGGAAUUCCUGGUGUAGCGGUGAAAUGCGCAGAUAUCAGGAGGAACACCAAUGGCGAAGGCAGCUCGCUGGGACGGUACUGACGCUGAGACGCGAAAGCGUGGGGAGCAAACAGG
rnacentral:rRNA from 1 species